rnacentral:rRNA from 1 species
AAAUUGAAGAGUUUGAUCAUGGCUCAGAUUGAACGCUGGCGGCAGGCCUAACACAUGCAAGUCGAGCGGUAGCACAGAGAGCUUGCUCUCGGGUGACGAGCGGCGGACGGGUGAGUAAUGUCUGGGAAACUGCCUGAUGGAGGGGGAUAACUACUGGAAACGGUAGCUAAUACCGCAUAAUGUCGCAAGACCAAAGUGGGGGACCUUCGGGCCUCAUGCCAUCAGAUGUGCCCAGAUGGGAUUAGCUAGUAGGUGGGGUAACGGCUCACCUAGGCGACGAUCCCUAGCUGGUCUGAGAGGAUGACCAGCCACACUGGAACUGAGACACGGUCCAGACUCCUACGGGAGGCAGCAGUGGGGAAUAUUGCACAAUGGGCGCAAGCCUGAUGCAGCCAUGCCGCGUGUGUGAAGAAGGCCUUCGGGUUGUAAAGCACUUUCAGCGGGGAGGAAGGCGGUGAGGUUAAUAACCUCAUCGAUUGACGUUACCCGCAGAAGAAGCACCGGCUAACUCCGUGCCAGCAGCCGCGGUAAUACGGAGGGUGCAAGCGUUAAUCGGAAUUACUGGGCGUAAAGCGCACGCAGGCGGUC